rnacentral:rRNA from 1 species
UACGUAGGGGGCAAGCGUUGUCCGGAUUUAUUGGGCGUAAAGAGCGUGUAGGCGGCCAUACAGGUCCGUUGUGAAAACUGGAGGCUUAACCUCCAGACGUCGAUGGAAACCGUAUGGCUAGAGUCCGGAAGAGGAGAGUGGAAUUCCUGGUGUAGCGGUGAAAUGCGCAGAUAUCAGGAAGAACACCGGUGGCGAAGGCGGGUCUCUGGGCAGUAACUGACGCUGAGGAGCGAAAGCGUGGGGAGCGAACAGG